UUAAUCCAAGUCCUGAUCUGAGAUUCUUCAUUGUUUGUCUAUCAAUUGUUCCCAAAAUCUCUUUAGCCCUACACCAUUCACCUUCUUCUGUCUAUUUGGAAGGUUUUGAUUACAGUCUGCUACAGAACCGAGUAGAAGAAGAAGCGCGGCGGUAGCAAGAAGAAGAAGAAAACCUCUGAGCAAGCAGAGGUCGGUCAGCGAUUGGCUCUUCGUAGGUUCCUCUUCUUCUCCACUUUUCUCGUCUACUCCCGAUGACUUUGCCGUCACAAUCAAUACCGGUACUUCGAAAUGCGGAGAGAAACUGGUCUUCGAGCUUCCUCUCAUUCAAAUCGCAGCGAUGGAUUUCUAUCUCCUUCAAAGCUUGUAAAGGAGUAAUACCAAUGGGGUUAGUUUCACAUCUUAGGAGCUAUAUCUGAAUUGGAUUUUUGUUUCCUCGUCGUCACAUUAAGAUUAGCUUUUGCUUCCGAAUGUGACCAGAAGCAGGUGAAAAACUUAUUACAUAACCAAAUAUUGAGUCUAACAUAUGCUGUGUGAAUUAUUUGGUCAUUGUUUAUAGAGACUUGACGUCCUAUCAACUACUUUUGCCUUAUGUGUUUUGGUAAGGUGAUUAAUCAUUAUUAAGGUUGUUUUUAUCUAAUUCUUAUCACCCCAAUUUCAGAUAUGUGGCUCGUAGUUUGUUUAUUUGCUUCUGACUGUGAAGUGUUUGAAAACUCCAUGGUUUAUCUUCUCUUAACCUGGGUUCCCAGAGCUCACUACAUUGGCAGGGCCAUCUUCACCAGUCCACAACCGUGUGUGUAGAAAAGACGUUCAUCAUUCUGUUAGUGAACAAACUCAAAUCGUCUCUGACGUUGCCUCUGACCCCACUAUUCCCUGCACCAAGGCCCUGCGCUCCACCAAGUAUCAACACGGCGAAGCAACCAAGUUAUGAAUCAUAUCUUUGGUCCUUUUAUAUAUUUCUGAACUCCGAAGCUAAGUAGUCAUAUGUGUGUGUUAUUUUCCUGAUUUGAAACGUGUGUAGGUCCUGUUACAAUCGCUGAUCAAAUGGCUGAAGAGGCCAUGGUAUCCAUUAUCUUCCAUGUGAGUUUCCAUCGAAUAAAGACACAUUGAUUGCUUCAGAAACGUGAAGGUUCUUCAUCUGCAAGAACCGGUAGGAACAUUAGCUCUCCAUUGUCUCCCAUGAAUGGUGGAUUCAUGCGACAGGUAAUGUAAUAACAGGAAACAAACGGAUGGGAAGGUGAUCUGCAACAUGUAUUAUACAUUAACUAUGGAGCUGGUGAUGUCUCUUCUGACCCUGACGCAGCAGCAUCAGUCAUUAUAUGAUUUAGCUCUUCUGGAAGAGCAGCCAGGUUGAUUUCCAUAUACAGUUAACAAUGCUCUUUAGUCAUACCCAGGGUCAGGAAAAUUCAUUUGAGAUGGAGCUUUAGUGGAGAUCAAUAAGAUCAUGACAAUGGAAGUGGAAGAACACAAUCUCCCUCAUCUAUUGCGGGCAGCGUUUCCAUUACAGAAACUUGAGAUUCUACAUUUUUGGUGUAGAAGAAAGAAAUAUGGCCACAUAUAACGAGUUAUCUUCAACUUAUGUGUGGGAUAAAAUGAACCAAAAAUGGAGUCCAAGACUGAAAGAGAAGAACGUCAAAAUCAUAUGAAGAAAUCAAGAAACAAACUACAAAUAUUAACCCAUAUGAUUUUUCUUCAAAUUAUUUAUAUUCACUUUAUUAUAUCUCGAUGUUUCCUGUGGAUUUUACAGAGUGGCAUUUUAAACCAAUGUACGCCUAUGUCAUUUCGAAUUUCUGGAACUUCUAUUGUGGGUUUUUUCAUAUUUUUCUCAAUGGUCUCUUCAGUGGUUUAUCUUGAUUUAUUUAUUUAAGUUUUAUCA